rnacentral:lncRNA from 1 species
CGGUCCCUACUGGGAGGGAGAGAUAUGUUUACAUGUUCUCACCCCCCACUGUUUUUCAGGAAGCUCGGACGGUGAGGGUCAGGACGAGGCGUGAGACAUGUUAGUAGCGGUCGAUAGAGCUUCCGACUUGGUUGAAUUGGUUUAGUUUCUAUCAUUGCUUAUUCAAAAUAAAUGACUUAGACAUUUAUGGUUCAGUGGUUUUAUUUCGGUUGAAUGUUUAUGGAUUUAUAAAGUUAAACAUUGUGGCUUUUAUAAUUGUUUGUGAGUUGUGAAAAUAGUUUUUUUAUCCCUCGUAGUAGUAUCUUUAAAGAAAAGGUUUCUGAGUGGAAAACAGUUUUAAAAGGAUUUUUUUGUGAAAAUGUAAUAGUAUGAUGUGUAGUGAAUGAUUAUGGUUGUACUUGUGUUUGUGCGACACCGUGCAAAUAUAGGAGAGGCUCUGUCCGUGUGAACAGUGAGUCUUUUGUAUUUAUGGCGAGUCUGUCAGCCCUUGGGUCAAGGUUUUUUUAAAAAAAUGUAUUAGGCAUUUCCGCUAUUUUA